GGUUAAGCGACUAAGCGUACACGGUGGAUGCCCUGGCAGUCAGAGGCGAUGAAGGACGUGCUAAUCUGCGAUAAGCGUCGGUAAGGUGAUAUGAACCGUUAUAACCGGCGAUUUCCGAAUGGGGAAACCCAGUGUGAUUCGUCACACUAUCAUUAACUGAAUCCAUAGGUUAAUGAGGCGAACCGGGGGAACUGAAACAUCUAAGUACCCCGAGGAAAAGAAAUCAACCGAGAUUCCCCCAGUAGCGGCGAGCGAACGGGGAGCAGCCCAGAGCCUGAAUCAGUGUGUGUGUUAGUGGAAGCGUCUGGAAAGGCGCGCGAUACAGGGUGACAGCCCCGUACACAAAAAUGCACAUGCUGUGAGCUCGAUGAGUAGGGCGGGACACGUGGUAUCCUGUCUGAAUAUGGGGGGACCAUCCUCCAAGGCUAAAUACUCCUGACUGACCGAUAGUGAACCAGUACCGUGAGGGAAAGGCGAAAAGAACCCCGGCGAGGGGAGUGAAAAAGAACCUGAAACCGUGUACGUACAAGCAGUGGGAGCACGCUUAGGCGUGUGACUGCGUACCUUUUGUAUAAUGGGUCAGCGACUUAUAUUCUGUAGCAAGGUUAACCGAAUAGGGGAGCCGAAGGGAAACCGAGUCUUAACUGGGCGUUAAGUUGCAGGGUAUAGACCCGAAACCCGGUGAUCUAGCCAUGGGCAGGUUGAAGGUUGGGUAACACUAACUGGAGGACCGAACCGACUAAUGUUGAAAAAUUAGCGGAUGACUUGUGGCUGGGGGUGAAAGGCCAAUCAAACCGGGAGAUAGCUGGUUCUCCCCGAAAGCUAUUUAGGUAGCGCCUCGUGAAUUCAUCUCCGGGGGUAGAGCACUGUUUCGGCAAGGGGGUCAUCCCGACUUACCAACCCGAUGCAAACUGCGAAUACCGGAGAAUGUUAUCACGGGAGACACACGGCGGGUGCUAACGUCCGUCGUGAAGAGGGAAACAACCCAGACCGCCAGCUAAGGUCCCAAAGUCAUGGUUAAGUGGGAAACGAUGUGGGAAGGCCCAGACAGCCAGGAUGUUGGCUUAGAAGCAGCCAUCAUUUAAAGAAAGCGUAAUAGCUCACUGGUCGAGUCGGCCUGCGCGGAAGAUGUAACGGGGCUAAACCAUGCACCGAAGCUGCGGCAGCGACGCUGAUGCGUUGUUGGGUAGGGGAGCGUUCUGUAAGCCUGUGAAGGUGUGCUGUGAGGCAUGCUGGAGGUAUCAGAAGUGCGAAUGCUGACAUAAGUAACGAUAAAGCGGGUGAAAAGCCCGCUCGCCGGAAGACCAAGGGUUCCUGUCCAACGUUAAUCGGGGCAGGGUGAGUCGACCCCUAAGGCGAGGCCGAAAGGCGUAGUCGAUGGGAAACAGGUUAAUAUUCCUGUACUUGGUGUUACUGCGAAGGGGGGACGGAGAAGGCUAUGUUGGCCGGGCGACGGUUGUCCCGGUUUAAGCGUGUAGGCUGGUUUUCCAGGCAAAUCCGGAAAAUCAAGGCUGAGGCGUGAUGACGAGGCACUACGGUGCUGAAGCAACAAAUGCCCUGCUUCCAGGAAAAGCCUCUAAGCAUCAGGUAACAUCAAAUCGUACCCCAAACCGACACAGGUGGUCAGGUAGAGAAUACCAAGGCGCUUGAGAGAACUCGGGUGAAGGAACUAGGCAAAAUGGUGCCGUAACUUCGGGAGAAGGCACGCUGAUAUGUAGGUGAAGUCCCUCGCGGAUGGAGCUGAAAUCAGUCGAAGAUACCAGCUGGCUGCAACUGUUUAUUAAAAACACAGCACUGUGCAAACACGAAAGUGGACGUAUACGGUGUGACGCCUGCCCGGUGCCGGAAGGUUAAUUGAUGGGGUCAGCGCAAGCGAAGCUCUUGAUCGAAGCCCCGGUAAACGGCGGCCGUAACUAUAACGGUCCUAAGGUAGCGAAAUUCCUUGUCGGGUAAGUUCCGACCUGCACGAAUGGCGUAAUGAUGGCCAGGCUGUCUCCACCCGAGACUCAGUGAAAUUGAACUCGCUGUGAAGAUGCAGUGUACCCGCGGCAAGACGGAAAGACCCCGUGAACCUUUACUAUAGCUUGACACUGAACAUUGAGCCUUGAUGUGUAGGAUAGGUGGGAGGCUUUGAAGUGUGGACGCCAGUCUGCAUGGAGCCGGCCUUGAAAUACCACCCUUUAAUGUUUGAUGUUCUAACGUUGACCCGUGAUCCGGGUUGCGGACAGUGUCUGGUGGGUAGUUUGACUGGGGCGGUCUCCUCCUAAAGAGUAACGGAGGAGCACGAAGGUUGGCUAAUCCUGGUCGGACAUCAGGAGGUUAGUGCAAUGGCAUAAGCCAGCUUGACUGCGAGCGUGACGGCGCGAGCAGGUGCGAAAGCAGGUCAUAGUGAUCCGGUGGUUCUGAAUGGAAGGGCCAUCGCUCAACGGAUAAAAGGUACUCCGGGGAUAACAGGCUGAUACCGCCCAAGAGUUCAUAUCGACGGCGGUGUUUGGCACCUCGAUGUCGGCUCAUCACAUCCUGGGGCUGAAGUAGGUCCCAAGGGUAUGGCUGUUCGCCAUUUAAAGUGGUACGCGAGCUGGGUUUAGAACGUCGUGAGACAGUUCGGUCCCUAUCUGCCGUGGGCGCUGGAGAACUGAGGGGGGCUGCUCCUAGUACGAGAGGACCGGAGUGGACGCAUCACUGGUGUUCGGGUUGUCAUGCCAAUGGCACUGCCCGGUAGCUAAAUGCGGAAGAGAUAAGUGCUGAAAGCAUCUAAGCACGAAACUUGCCCCGAGAUGAGUUCUCCCUGACUCCUUGAGAGUCCUGAAGGAACGUUGAAGACGACGACGUUGAUAGGCCGGGUGUGUAAGCGCAGCGAUGCGUUGAGCUAACCGGUACUAAUGAACCGUGAGGCUUAACCUU
rnacentral:rRNA from 1 species